AAACAACUACACACACACACCCAUGCAGACUCGGCAAACAAUGAAGGAGGCGAGGCGCUGUGCAUUCUCUCUGGAUUUUAUUCUUUAGGAAGAGUUCUGUUUGGAAUUACAAAAUGCACUGGUAGAAAUAGCGGUGAAACUGGUUGAGAGUGCGACAGGUAGGAGUGUGAGAGAGACAGAGUUAGAGAGAGAGAAAGAGAGAAAAAAGAGGGAGAGAGAGAGAGAGAAACAGAAAGAGAGAGAGG